UCUACCCGUGCGCAUGCGCCCUACCAGAGCGCGGCCAGCGGUGUAGGGUCGCGGCGGCGUGUCCUGCCGGUGGAGCCCGUGGCAUGGCGCGGCUCCCUGUGCUGCCGCUCCUCUUCCCGGUGCUGCCACUGCUCCUCCCGGUGCUGCCGCUCCCGGCGCCUCCGUCAGAGAACGGGACCCUGCCCGGCUGCCCCCCGCACCAGUUCCAGUGCGAGCCCGGCACCGUCUGCCUCCCCCGGGAGUGGCUCUGCGAUGGACACCCCGACUGCAUGGACGAGGGGGACGAGCGGGGCUGCGGGACGGCGACCCCGGCGGAGCCGAGUCCUGACGGCGUCCGGGUGACCCCGCGGCGGGUCUCGGCGGUGCCGCCCGCCGGCAGCGCAGAGGCUUCAGCCACGCCUGUGUCUGGGUGUUCCGUGCCAUCGAGGAGUCAAAGCCACACAUGGACCUUGAUUAUUGCAAGGAAGCUGCUGCUCUCCAGCUGUUGGCUGAAACUGUUGGGCAGCAGAGCCCAGUGCUGAUGUCGGGACCGGGCGCAGUGAGCGGAUCUCUAUUUGUGCACUCUCCUCUCCUCUCUAGUGCUCCUGAGCAUCCUGGUUGCUCUGGGUUCUGUCGCUGUCUGGGGCCUGUCCAAAGCAAAAAGCAGAUCUGACAUCUUCAGUCCUGAAAAAGCAUCCAGGGAACAGCUGGUGCCUGACAAGAACCCGACAGGCUCAUUUCCCUCAAGGGGAUCUUUACUGUGAGGUGAUGAGAUGGGACUAGCCUGCUCUCUCCUUCCUGCUCACCGCAGAGACUGACUGAAUUGGACAUAAACUCGCAAAUCUGCGUUGUUACACUGGAAAAACAAGAGGAUGCUCCCCAUGGAAAUGAGUCUUAGAUUGUGGGACAACUUUGGCACUGGAAAUAAUGCAGGACCUUCCCUGGUGCUGUGAAAUCACCAUCACAGAGGUGGUAGAAAUUCCUUCAUGGUUCUUGCCUCCAGCGGUUGUUAAUACUGAUUCUCACCAGUGCAGCCUUGGACCCAAAUAUUUUAUUCUCCAUGACAUGACCGGCACUAGGUGCUAUUCAGCUGUUUUCUUCCACUUCCAGCCAAGAGACGUUUUUCACCUGCCCCAUUCUUCCCUCUGGGUUUUGUCGGGCAACAGAGGCUUUUCAUCCAUUCCAGCAGGAGCUCACUGACCCCGCACAGAUCAGAUGUGUAGUCCAUGUUUGCGCUGUUGUUUUGAUGCUGUUCGUUCCGGUGUACAGGCAGCUUUUUACUGACAGGUCAGCACAGGUGUGAAAGUUGAAAAUCUCUCUCUCUGCUCUGGCUUUUGCUGCGCUGCCACCCCCGUCAGCACAGGGCGAGCAGCUCCUGGGCUCACUCCCUGCCAGUGUGUUGCUUCUCUAACACUCUUAAAGGUUUCUUCCUUAAAACUAUUCUGACAUGAGUGGUGUACUUCAAGGAUCCAUACUGGGACCAACGCUAUUUAAUAUCCUCGCCAGUGGUGUGUAUAGUGGGGUCGAGCGCACCCUCAGCAAGUUUAUGGGUGACACCGAGCUGAGCAGUGCAGUCGAUUCACUGAGGGAGGGGACACCCCCCCAUCCAGAGGGACCUUCAGUGCGCCCGUGUGAACAUCAUGAAGUUCAGUAAGGUCAAGUGCAAGGUCCUGCACCAUCACUGGAGAAGAGAAAGCUCUAGGGAGACCUUGUUGUGUCUUUUCUAUAUAUAAAGGGGCUUGUAAGAAGAAUAGAGGGUUUUACCAAAGCCUGCAGUGACAGGACAAGGGGCAAUGGUUAUACACUGAAAGAGCGGAGAUUUCACUUGCACAUAAGGAAGAAAUGUUCAGUGAGGGUGGUGAGCAAGCUGGUUUAGUGGAAGGUGUCCCUGCCCAUGGCAGGGGGUUGGACUAGGUCAUCUUUAAGGUCCUCUCCAACCCAGUCUGUACUAAUAUGAGACUUUGAACAUUUGUCCUUUUUUUUUUCAGCUUGAAAUAAGUCGUGUCUUGAAUCAAACACUGCAUGUCAUGGCACGUGUAGCUCUUUCUGCACAGCUCAGUGCUGUUUGCUUUCAGAAGAACUGACAGCGGAGGGAGGAGAUUCCUGACCAGUGCCUCUAGUUCAGUGCUGACCACGUGUUCUGUGCACAAGCAUUCACUGGGUGCGCAAAGGACUGAAAGCAGCUGCCUCGGCGCUGAUCUCUGUGCCUUAGAGGUGAGAACUCGCCUUGCCAAGCAGACACCGGUCAGCAGCCUCAGGGCAGGAGUCUUCCCCUCCUAGGGGGUGUGCAAGUGUGCUGCUGCACCCGUGGGGAGAAACUUCUCUUGUGGUCUGGAGUGUUAGUUAUUCCAGUGCUGCUGGUUUUAGUACCAAGGGUCCUUUGCAAGGGUGUGCAGAACCUUCCUUCUGUUUCCAUAGGGACAAGUAGAGAUGCAAUAGUUGUUGGUGAAUGGCACAGGAGAAUAAAGAACUUGAAACUA